rnacentral:lncRNA from 1 species
UAGGUGGAGAAAAAAUGUUGGAAAAAUUAAUUGCACAACAAACAGAGAUAUUGGAACAGCAAAGAGAAAUAUUAAGACGUGUGGCGCAGCUGGAGGAAAUGGCAGCUACAAUCACUAAUGCAAGAGUUGAGGAUUCUGCUUCAACAACUGCUGCCUCAACAACAAAGGCUAA